AACGAACGCUGGCGGCAUGCCUAACACAUGCAAGUCGAACGCUACCUUCGGGUCUUGUUGCUCACGGUUACUUACCGCGUGGUAACCUGCCCUUAGGUUCCGUAUCUCUCCCCGGAGGGGGUCCUUAUACCGGAUUAUCUCUUCCGGCCAAAGAUUUAUCGGUUUUUGAUGUGGCCGCGUUGGAUUAGCUAGGUGGUAUAGUAAAAGACUACCAAGGCGAAGAUCUAUAGCUGGUCUUAGAGGAUGAUCAGCAACACUGUGACUGAGACACGGACGAGACUCCUACGGGAGGAAGCAGGGGGGAAUAAUGGACAAUGGGUGAAAGAAGGAGACAGCCAGGCCGCGUGAGUGAUGAAGGAGAGAGGGUUGUAAAGCUGUGUUACAAGGGAAGAUAAUGACAGUACCGGGAGAAUAAGCUACGGCUAAUUCCGUG
rnacentral:rRNA from 1 species